UUUUAUUUGAGAGUUUGAUCCUGGCUCAGGAUGAACGCUGGCGGCGUGCCUAACACAUGCAAGUCGAGCGAUUUCCUUCGGGAAAGAGCGGCGGACGGGUGAGUAACGCGUGGGUAACCUGCCCUGUACACACGGAUAACAUACCGAAAGGUAUGCUAAUACGAGAUAAAGUGCUAUGAAGACAUCUUCGAAGCACCAAAGCUUUAGCGGUACAGGAUGGACCCGCGUCUGAUUAGCUAGUUGGUAAGGUAA
rnacentral:rRNA from 1 species